UUGAACCACAAGAUUCACGGUAUGGGC
rnacentral:sRNA from 1 species